CCUACGGGAGGCAGCAGUGGGGAAUAUUGCACAAUGUGGGGAACCCUGAUGCAGCGACGCCGCGUGAGUGAAGAAGUAUUUCGGUAUGUAAAGCUCUAUCAGCAGGGAAGAAAAUGACGGUACCUGACUAAGAAUCCCCGGCUAACUACGUGCCAGCAGCCGCGGUAAUACGUAGGGGGCAAGCGUUAUCCGGUUUUAUUGGGUUUAAAGGGUGCGUAGGCUGUGAAGUAAGUCAGCGGUGAAAUGCCCCCGCUCAACGGGGUGAAGUGCCAUUGAUACUGCCUAGCUGGAGUGCGGAUGACGUGGGAGGAAUGUGUGGUGUAGCAGUGAAAUGCAUAGAUAUCACACAGAACACCGAUUGCGAAGGCGUCUCACGAAUCCGCGAUUGACGCUGAUGCACGAAAGCGUGGGUAUCAAACAGGAUUAGAUACCCGAGUAGUC
rnacentral:rRNA from 1 species